AUAUAUUGUGGCACCCAAAACUGUACCCAGUGUCCAGGGUGAGGCCGCACUGGUGCUGUGCAGAAGCAAUCAGUGACAUAUCUGGAGCAUGGAAUGGUCAGGAAAUUUUGUUAGUCUCAGUUUAGGACUUAAAAUCAUAGUGACACUCAAUUCAUGGUUAUAACGAGGAUUUUGUUAUUUCAGCUUUCUGAAAGUUUAUGGAUACAAGUGAAUGAAUGCAGAACAAUGGCUGGCAUGGGGCUGUUUUUCAGACAGUGACACCAAGGUGGAUGCAGUUAUGAUCAGGGUUUCCUCUGUAUAUCGAAACAGCUCAGAAUCUUGGAAGCACUUUGAAUUGAUUCAGUGUCUGAAUAGCCUUGUUUUUCUCAGUGAUCUAGCUUCACAGUAGCACUGAUGUCACAACAGACUACUUUUAUAUUUGCCUCCAUCAGGUGGAAGGACUUUUUCUUGGAUUUCAUGUAUAUCAUUUUGGAUUAUAGUGCACCAAAAUAGAAAUUUUCUCAUUAUGGCAUAACAAGCAAUGGAAAUUUGCCAAACUGGGGAAAAACAGCUACAGGUCAGCCAAAAGUCACUGUGAUGAAGCUGAUGAUGGAAAAAUAGGUAAAAGGUGGGUGGUCUAAGACCACCAGAGGCUCCUACCAUGCAUGCCCAGAGGGACAUUAGCUCAUUAAUGAGUUCUUGGAAAAAAAUUAGUAUGCAUGCAAAUGUAUUGAGCAUGUAUGCCCUAACUGUUUAAAUGUAGAACUUGAACUCUGAGAGCAUGUGCUUGAUUUGUCAAAUCACCUGGUACAUGUCAUAAGGAAUAAAGGAAUGUCACUUUCUAACACCACAUUGGGGUUAGAGAGUUUUCUUCCCAAAUUUCAGAUGACAGAUAAAUGAAUUUCACAUAUAGUGACUCUAAAUAUAUUGAUUUGGUUUCCUUAGCCACCACUUAAAAACAUGGCAAAAAUCUUUGGAUACAAGCACAUUCUUCCUCUCCUUGUAUGUUCCUACCAUGAAUUACCAAAAGUAGCUCAUGAUCAGUGACAGAAAAUAAUACAUGUUGCACAGGAUUACGUAUCUGUGAGGAACACUAACAUGAAUACUUAGCUGUGAAUGUUAAGAAAAUUUCCUUUCACCUCUAACAUGGUACAUUAACAAACAGAAGCGGUUAUCUGUAGGGAUGGCAUUUACGUGAAAAGAUAGUAGAAACUAGGUUUCCAGCUUCUCACAAAAGCUGCCAUCAAGGGGCACCUAAGCUGCAUCAAAAGACCCUUAGGUAAAACAAAACAGAACAAAACAAAACAAAAGACACCAACAAAACAGUGGUAAUCGU
ensembl:lncRNA